ensembl:snoRNA SNORD14 Small nucleolar RNA SNORD14
UCACUGUGAUGACGCUUUUCCUGCCAUUCGUAGUUUCCACCAGAGGUCGAAAGACCAAAGAUGGCCCAAUUCCUUCCUUGGAUGUCUGAGUGA